rnacentral:rRNA from 1 species
GAUGAACGCUGGCGGCGUGCCUAAUACAUGCAAGUCGAGCGAACAGACGAGGAGCUUGCUCUUCUGACGUUAGCGGCGGACGGGUGAGUAACACGUGGAUAACCUACCUAUAAGACUGGGAUAACUUCGGGAAACCGGAGCUAAUACCGGAUAAUAUUUUGAACCGCAUGGUUCAAUAGUGAAAGACGGUUUUGCUGUCACUUAUAGAUGGAUCCGCGCCGCAUUAGCUAUUUGGUAAGGUAACGGCUUACCAAGGCGACGAUGCGUAGCCGACCUGAGGGGGUGAUCGGCCAAACUGGAACUUAGACACGGUCCCGACUCCUACGGGAGGCAGCAGUAGGGAAUCUUCCGUAAUGGGCGAAAGCCUGACGGAGCAACGCCGCGUGAGUGAUAAAGGUCUUCGGAUCUUAAAACUCUGUUAUUGGGGAAGAACAAAUGUGUAAGUAACUAUGCACGGCUUGACGGUACCUAAUCAGAAAGCCACGGCUAACUACGUG